CCUAGCAAACAGUUUCUAGUUGUUGAAGGCCAAUAAGCUUGGUCCUUUAUAAGGCCUUGUACCCAUCUAUUGUUGAAUAAAUAAAAUCACUUUUUUGUUCUCUAAAACCCAACAGAGUCAAACAAGUCAAAGUUAGUUAUAAUAUUGGUGUUAAUUCUCUGUUUAGACUGCUGUAGUUUUGAUAUGAUCUGUUAGAGUAUUGUUAGAGCACGACUCUUGUACAGUAAGCAAAGUCAGUUUUUAGUCUCUGUAUAAAUACUCUGAUGUAAUUUAAUUAUUCCUUCAAAGCUGCAAAUCCAUGAACCAGCUCAAACAGAUCCAGUCCCAGAUGUUUCUUCUUGGUCUACACCAAGACAGAUUCACCCUCAGCAAGCUCAUGGCCUUUUGCACGGACCCAUCUCUUGGAAACUUGUAUUGCGCUGAGAAAGUCUUCCAUUACAUCCAAAACCCAUGUUUGUUCGUUUACAAUAGAAUGAUUAAAGCGUUUGCUAAAAGGGGUAGUUUCAGAAGUGCCCUUGAGCUCUUUCGGCUGCUAAGGGAAGAGGGCUUGUGGCCGGAUAGUUUCACGUACCCAUUUGUUUUUAAAGCCAUUGGAUGCUUGAGAGAGCCUCGUGAAGGAGCAAAGGUUCAUGGGCUUGUGGUAAAAACUGGCUUUGAGUUUGAUGCGUAUGUAUGUAACUCGCUCAUUGACAUGUAUGCUGGCUAGGGUAUGGUUCGGAAUUUUAAGCAAUUGUUUGACGAAGCCUGAGAGAAAUUGGCUUUGUUGGAAUGUUACGAUUUCGGGGUAUGUUAGGUGCAGGAGGUUUGAGGAUGCUUUUGAUAUGUUCCAGCGGAUGCGAUGUGAGAGCAAUAAGAAGCCUGAUGAGGCUACGGUGGUAAGCACCCUUUCGGCUUGCACAGCAUUGAAAAAUUUGGAGCUUGGUAAACAAAUUCACGACUAUGUUAAAAGUGAGCUUAAAUUGACUACUAUAAUCGGAAAUGCAUUGUUGAACAUGUAUGCUAAGUGUGGUUGUUUGAAUGAAGGCCGGCGAAUUUUUGAUGAGAUACCAUCGAAAAACGUGAUCUGUUGUACGAGUAUGGUGUCUGGGUAUGUAAAAUUGUGGUAGGCUGGAUGAGGCUAGAGAGGUUUUUGAUGGGAGUUGAAUUAAGGAUGCUGUUCUAUGGACCGCUAUGAUUAAUGGGUAUGCGCAAUAUAACCGUUUUGAUGAGGCCGUGGCUCUAUUCCAAGAGAUGCAAAUUAGAAGAGUUAAAGGAGAUAAAUUUACAGCGGUUACUCUCCUUACAGGCUGUGCUCAGUCGGGAGCAUUAGAGCAAGGGAAAUGGAUUCACAGGUACAUGGAGGAAAACGGAAUUAAGAUUGAUGCACCUGCUCUUAUUGAAAUGUAUGCAAAAUGUGGGUGCAUAGACAAAUCCUUGGAGAUUUUCAAUGGAUUAAGGGAAAAAGAUGCAGCCUGUUGGACUUCAAUCGUUUGUGGGCUUGCAAAGAAUGGCAAGGCAAGCAAAGCAGUCGAGUUGUUCUCAGAAAUGAUACAGAUUGGCAUCAACCCUGAUGACAUUAAUUUCAUUGCUGUUCUAAGGGCUUGCAGUCAUGGAGGGUUGGUUGACGAGGGCCGUAAGUUCUUCAACUCCAUGAGAAAGAUGUAUGAAAUUGAGCCAAAGUUAGAACACUAUGCUUGUCUGGUUGACCUCCUUGGUCGAGCUGGACUGUUAGAUGAAGCAGAGGAGAUGAUAGAGCGGGUUCCAAGUGAAAACAAGGAGAUUAUGAUUCCACUUUAUGGUGCUUUGCUUAGUGCUUGCAGAAUCCAUGGCAAUGUUGAGAUGGGUGAAAGAGUGGCUAAAAGGCUAGCGGAUAUUGAAUCAAGCGGCUCUAGUGUUCACACGCUUCUAGCCAAUACGUACGCCUCUGCCGACAGAUGGGAAGAUGUAACAAAGGUGAGAAGAAGAUGAAAGAUGUUGGAGUUAGAAAGGUGCCUGGGAGCAGUUCAAUUGAGAUUGAUGGCAUGUCCAUGAGCUUAUUGACGGUGACAGAGAUUAAUAUUGUUUUACACAGAUUGAUAAAGCACUUGUAGGGUUUAAAAGAGAAGGGAAUGGAAAGAGAAAACCUAGUUUUAAUUGGUUUAUGAUGAAGGAUUGCAGAUGUUCUGAAAAUUUUAUGCCCCAAUUUAUAUGUUGCAUCCCUUGUCAUAUGACUGCAGCACAUCCAAACCUAAGAUUUCGAUCAUUACGAUAAAAGUUCAAAGUAUGCUCUUAAUAACCUUUCACAAAAACUUAAGAUAAUAUUAUAACGACCCAACCCCAUGUCCCAAUGACAUCUUGGGUACAUGGAAUGGAGCUAGCUAAAUAUGGUGCAAAUCAAGUCACUGGUUAUAGUUAUACAUAAUAAAAAAGGUACGUACUAAUUAAUUAAGAUGAUAACAAGUAGUAGAGUAUAGGUAAUUGAUUAUUUAUGCAGCCGGAGCAAAGUCAUAGUCUCCAUCGUCGUCGUCGUCGUCGUCCCCUUCUGAGGAUGUCACUGCAGAAGGGGCAAGACCCUCAAAUUUAGGGUCAUCUCUACCUUCUCCGUCUGCAUGCUUCUUGCACCACAAGGCAAUAUUGUUCUUAGAAAUGGGACACAUUUUCUGCUUUUGUACAGGAAUAAAAAGAAGAAUAAGAAGAAUGCUGGAUUUCGGGUUUCUUGAAGAAUUUCUUUCAAGGGGGUGGUAUAAGCAGUAGUUGGAAGGAGUGUGUGUGUGGAGAGAUUGAGUCUGCAAGGU